AGGAUUAAUUCUGUGACAAGAGCAGGAACUUACACUUACAGAAACAGAGAAAAAGUUUGACAGUUUUUGUUCCACUGAAUCGUCUGAAACAAUCAAUAAAUUCAUUGUGAAGUAUUUUGUAGGUGAUAUUCUAGUCAGUAAAGAGGAACAUCAACAGUUCUUGACCGGUGUUCAGAUGAUGUCAUGGACUCCACAAAGGAUCUCAGUGGACAGACAGACACAGGGAAGGUCAAGAGUGUCAUUCAUGGAGAAUCUCCUGAACCCAGCUGUGUGUCCAUGAAGAGUGACGGGUCAAUGAAUCCUCCAAUUUACUUCAGUUCGGGAGAGUCUUUGAUCAACUACAGAAACAAACAGGAUGAAUCAGAGUCAACUGCUGGGAAAGUGCCAUUGGACUCCAUUUUUGAGGAACUUGAGCACAAAAUCAUCUCUCUGAUGAAGAAAGAGCUGAAGAGUUUCAAGAGACUAUUGAUCUCAGAUUCCCCAGCAUGCUCUGAGAGAGAGGAGGAGGAUGAUGACGGUCAGAGCAGAGUCAGAGAGGGGUUUCUGAAGAUCACACUGCACGUCCUGAAGAAGAUGAAGCAGACAGACCUCGCUAACACACUUCAAACCAAACUGAUUUCUGUGCAUCAACAAAAACUCAAAACAAAACUAAAAGAGAAAUUCCAGAGAAUUUCUGAAGGAAUGUCAAAUCAAAGCAGCUCAACACUUGUGAAUGAGAUCUACACAGAGCUGUACAUCACAGAGGGAGGGAGUGCAGAGAUCAAUAAUGAACAUGAGGUGAGACAGAUUGAGACAGCAUCCAGGAGAGCAGAGACACAGGAAACACCAAUCAAAUGCAAUGACAUCUUUAAAGCCUUACCUGGACAAGACAAAGCCAUCAGAACUGUGCUGACUAAAGGAGUUGCUGGCAUUGGGAAAACUGUCUCUGUGCAGAAGUUCAUUGUGGACUGGACUGAAGGAAAAGCAAAUCAGGAUGUUCACUUCAUAUUUCCACUUCCUUUCAGAGAGCUCAAUCUGAUGAAGCACAAACAUAUCAGUUUGAUGGAUCUUCUUCAUCAGUUUUUCACAGAUACAAAAGAACUGAGAGAAUUGAAAAAAUUCCUUGAUGACUACAAAGUCAUUUUCAUUUUUGAUGGUCUGGAUGAGUGUCGACUUCCUCUAGAUUUCCAGAACAAUGAUAUUUUGUGUGAUGUGACAGAAUCGGCCUCAGUGGAUGUGCUGCUGACCAACCUCAUCAAGGGGAAUCUGCUUCCUUCUGCUCUGCUCUGGAUCACCUCUCGACCAGCAGCAGCCAAUCAGAUUCCUCCUGAGUGUGUUGACCAGCUCACAGAUGUACGAGGCUUCAAUGACCUUCAGAAGGACGAGUAUUUCAGGAAGAGAAUAAAAGAUGAGCGUCUGGCCAACAGAAUCAUCACACACAUGAAAUCAUCAAGAAGCCUGUACAUCAUGUGUCACAUACCAGUCUUCUGUUGGAUUUCAGCCACUGUUCUCCAGAGACUGUUGAGUGAAGCAGAGAGUGCAGAGAUCCCCAAGACUCUCACUCAAAUGUUCACACACUUCCUGAUCUUUCAGAGCAAACUGAAGAGCCAGAAGUAUGAUGGGAAAUGUGAGGUGGAUCUUCAGCAGGCUAGAGAGAGGAUUCUGUCUCUGGGAAAACUGGCUUUUCAACAGCUGGAAAAAGGGAACCUGAUAUUCUAUGAGGAGGACCUGAGAGAGUGUGGCAUUGAUGUCAGAGAAGCGUCAGUGUACUCGGGAGUUUGUACCCAAAUCUUCAGAGAGGAGUUUGGACUGCACCUGGGGAAGGUGUUCAGCUUUGUGCAUCUGAGCAUUCAGGAGUUUCUCGCUGCUCUGUAUGCUUUUGUUUCCUUUUCUAAAAAAACAUCAGGUCUCUUCAGUAAGUUUAGGUCAUCUAUGACUGAUUUCCUGAAGAGUGAAGUGGACAAGGCCUUACAGAGUGAGAACGGACACCUGGACCUUUUCCUUCGAUUCCUUCUGGGUCUCUCACUGAAGUCCAAUCAGACAAUCUUACGAGACCUUCUGACACAGACAGGAAGCAGCUCUGACAGCAAACAGGAAAUAGUUGAGUACAUUAAGAUGAAGAUCAGGGAGAAUCCCUCUCCAGAGAAAUCCAUCAAUCUGUUCCACUGUCUGAAUGAACUCAAUGAUCAUUCUCUAGUGCAGGAAGUACAAACAUACGUGAACAGAAGAGAUAUCAAUCGUCUCUCUGGAGUCCGUCUCUCUCCUGCUCAGUGGUCAGCUCUGGUGUUUGUGUUGCUGAACUCAGAAGAGGAGCUGGAUCAGUUUAAUCUGAGGAAAUAUGAUCCAUCACAUGAAUGUCUUCUGAGGCUGCUGCCGGUGAUCAAAGCAUCCAGAAAAGCUGAUUUGAUGGGCUGCGAUCUGAGAGUGCAAAGUUGUUCAGCACUGGCCUCAGUUCUCAGCUCAAACUCCUCAAGUCUGAGAGAGCUGGAUCUGAGUAAUAAUGACCUGCAGGAUUCAGGAGUGAAGCUGCUCUCUGAUGCACUGAAGAGUCCUCACUGUACACUGGAAAUACUGAGAUUUGCAGCUUGUAGAUUCACUGAUCAGUGCUGUGAAAGUUUGUCUUCAGUUCUACAAUCAUCAAAAUCCCUUAGAGAGCUGGAUCUGAGUAACAAUGACCUGCAGGAUUCAGGAGUGAAGCUGCUCUCUGAUGCACUAAAGAGACCUCACUGUACACUGGAAAUACUGAGAUUUUCAGAUUGUAGAUUCACUGGUCAGUGCUGUGAAAGUUUGUCUUCAGUUCUACAAUCAUCAAAAUCCCUGAGAGAGCUGGAUCUCAGUAAUAAUGACCUGCAGGAUUCAGGAGUGAAGCUGCUCUCUGAUGCACUAAAGAGUCCUCACUGUACACUGGAAAUACUGAGAUUAUCUGGCUGUAUGGUGACAGAGGAAGGCUGUUGUUCUGUGGCAUCAGCUCUGAGAUCAAAUCUCUCACGCCUGAAAGAGCUGGAUCUGAGCUACAAUCACCCAGGAGAAUCAGGAGUCAGGCUGCUCUCUGAAAGAAUCAACGAUCCAAACUGCACACUGGACAAACUUAAACGCUUUUAUCCAGACGCUUUUAUCCAUUCCCCCCGGAGCAACCUGGAGUUAAGUGCCUUGAUCCAGGACACAAUGGUGGUGUCUGUGGGGAUAUAACCAGCGACCUUCUGAUUACCAGAUUACCAGUUAUGUGCUUUAGACCACUAGACCACCAAGUAACUCAAACAGCAAAAUUGUCACAAAACAUCACAAUAACAGACAUCAGAGAUGUACAUAUAUUAAACCUGUAAACAUACACAGUCACAAACAUUGUUACUCCUAUCAUUAUGUGGACUCUCCAUAGACACAAUUAUUUUUAUUAUAUAUAUUCUAUCCCCUAAACCUAACCCUCACAGAAACAUUUGGGAUAUUUACAUUUAAAAAAAUAUAUAUAGUAUGUACGUUUGAAUUUUUAAGGACACUAGAGAUGUCCUCAUAAACCACAUUUAUAGCAUAAUACCUUCGUAACUACUAGUGUAUGACCUAAUAAAACCACCAAACAUACAUACACUCACUUACACACAAACACACAGUGUACAGACAGACCGUAUUGAUGAUUUCUGACUAUUUUUAUAACUAUGUAUAAAAGCGGAAGUGAAACAAAUACAGUACAGUAGACAAAACCCAUUUGUUUAUAUGUAUAUACAGUAUUUUUAAAUAUAUUUUUAUAUAUACAUUUUUUAAUAUGACAAAUCAAGAAUUCAGUAUAUUACUCGUCUACACUGUGAAGUGUCACGUGACCUCAUUCUAACAGAUUUUGCAUUCUUUUGAUAUUUUGCGUGUGGACAUAACUCACUCUGGGGGGCAUUCAAGGGAAUUCAGAACCUACUCAUGAAAAGGGAAAAACUAAAUUAUUCAUGGUUUUGAUUUAGGGCAGUCCCCUAAAUACAGAAAAGGUGACAAAGUGCAAAUUUGAUUAAAGGUGCAGUAUUUAAGAUUCAGAAACCCUUGUUAUUAAUGACAGCUGUGGCCGUGAAGUGAACUGCAGCAGCUACCUGUUGCUCGUGAACUCCAUAGGGACACGAGCGAGCAUUUACCAAAACAAUGAUGUAACCUACAAAGAGACUGAACGUGAUUCACCGGCAUCAUGCUGACAGAUGAGGUAGCAUAAUUAAAAUGACACAGUUAUGAUUGUUUUACAAACUUUGAGACUGUAUAUUAUAUUUGACUCUCCAGUGCUGGAACAGGGCUAAAAAAGUGUGGAUAUCGGUCUGACUAUGUGAGACUAUAGUUUGCAUGAUACAUUGACUGCAUUUAUAUGAUGCCGAUGUCGGUGUUAGCUAGCUAGUCAGCUUUAUCAAUAGCUGUUAGCUAAAUUUGGUGGAUGAUGACAGUAGCUGUUUAUAAAAUAGACUGUACAUUAUAAAUAUGUUGACACAAUUCAGUAUUGAUCUGAUUCAUCACAACUGACAUUUUGAUAUAUCGAUGCGCUAUUGUUUUAUAAUAAUAGAUGAUAUAUAUUUUCUGUAUAAUCAAGUUACGUUACACUAAUGAAUGUGUCUUUUUGCAUUAUCUUGAACAUUGUCUAGCAUUCAUUUCAUUGCUAUUGUAGUUUAGCUAAAAUGACACAGAUCAAUCCUUAUGGCUCAAUAUUUAAAUUUUUUGCAGUUAUCUCAUGAAAAUCAGUCUACAGGCUUUAAUAGGCAACCUAGGAAGUCUGUGAAGGGCUCAUUUUAUAAGUUGUGUUACAAGCCGUUCACACAUUGGCAAAAAAAGGUGCUGCUUGCUUGAUAUAACCAAAAUAUUGUUGAAAUGGUUUUGCAGUAUUUGGUUGGGUAAGACUUUCCCUUUUUAUUGGAUGGGGAACACAGUGGACAGUGACAGUGAUUCAGGGAAAAGGUCUUUUAGUCUCUUACUUCAGUUUUCUUGCCUUGACAGUAAAAAUCAAUUCUAUAUCAAAACUGCUAUUCAAAUAAAAGUGACAUGUUCAAAUCUUACGGAUCAUAACAGAAGCAGCAUCACUGGUAAAUGAUGCAAGAGUGUCUGCAGGUCUGCAUUUCUCUGCUGUAAUGAUGUUGAAGAUGGUUUCUGUAAUAGUUGCAGCAUCUCCAGUAGGGAUGUAACGGUUUAACAGUUUCACGAUAUACCCCAGUUUAAUAAUAGAUGAUUUUCACACCAUAGACAUUCUUAUUCACAGUAUUGCAUGAAUAUAAAAUCUGUUUAAAUAUAAAAUCUGAACUUUUCUAAAAUCCAAAUCAGUGUAAUGAUGACAUCAUCAGAUACAUUUGAUAAAUCGUGAUUUGCUCAUUUUACAUUGAAUGCACACUUCAUUUAAAGGCACGGCACGGGCUCAUCUCACCACAAAGACAUGUCGGACCCUGAACAUUUAUUUACACCAUCAAAAGCUUUUUCUUGGUCCAAAUCUAAAAAUCCUACAUUAAGAUUAUUGUCUCUGGCAAAAGAAAUCAGAUCAUGUAUUCAAAACAAAUGAUCAAAUAUUGUGCGUUUAGGAAUACAAUAUGACUGGUCAGCGUGAAUUAAUUUAGAUAUGUAAAUUUUGAAUCUGUUGGUUAAUGCUUUGGACAGUAUCUUAUAGUACAUUUAUUUCACUGCUGAAAUCUGCAGUGUGAGAGUAUUUUGGACAUUUUGGGUUUGGCACCAUUAAUGGUUCUCAGUUAUUCUGUUUGGAAAGUUUGUUGCAUCGUCCCAUGAAAUCUGUGGAGGAUAAUAUAUUUAGAUGCAAACGGAUUGUGUUUAUAUGAAAUGUUACGAUGAGCUUAUUUUCAUUUUAUAUGAUUUAUUAUUUGCUUAAGUGCAGCACAACAGCAAGACUACAAUAUGUUUAAUACUAAUAAUAUGUUUUAUUUGUAAAGUACUAAAUAGGGUUUAUAAAGUGCAUUAGCAUACAGGAAAUGAACAGUGAUACUGUAGCACAUUUGCUUGUGUUGUGCUCUGUCACUGUAUUAAGCUCAUUUAAAAAGUGUUACAAAUAAACACAAUAGCACACAAAUCUGUUUAAAAUGAUGUACACUCACAUUAGAUGAUGACUCCAGUCAGAUACUGACCUCAAUAAAAGCUGUUUAAUUGUACAUUGAGCGGGUCGCCCCUCAUGGAUGCUGCCAUGUUGACCGCACAUAACAAACUGUCUUGCAGUUGAUCAGUUACUACCACUAAUAAUAUCAAUAAUGAUCACAGAUCUGUGAUGGACUGGCGACCUGUCCAGGGUGUCCCCCGCCUUUCGCCCAAUGUUAGCUGGGAUAGGCUCCAGCCCCCCGCGACCCUGUACACAGGAUAAGCGGUUGACGAUGGAUGGAUGGAUGGAUGAUCACAGAUAAACGGUGUGACAUCAAGCACCAAGAGCGAGCACACAACGGUCUCAUCAGCCGCCAGAGAGAUUACGAGUCGCAGCAGUCCAUCUUACAGACAUUUUUGUGUGGCGCAGCAGCAGUUAACAGGGGCGGUGCAGGAUUUUUCACAGGGGGGGUCGGGCAGUGAUCAGUCUGUGGUGUCAGUAUAAAGUCCAAAACCACUGGUACUAUUGGGACGAAUAAGAGCCAGAUAAAAACUUACUGCUGCACUUUUAAAAGCGGCGCUAACACUGAUCUGGAGCCGUUUCAUAACCCAGGAUUAAAAGUGUUGCUAAUCACCUUUCAGAGUUACAAGUGUGAAACGUUACUUUACUGGAGGUUAAAGCGGGGUUAAAAGACAAUAACCCAGGGUUAAGUGCAGUGUGAAAGCACUUGAGUUUAUUGUUGGUGGGAUGUUGUGUGUGUGUAUUGCAGGGGUGUUAAACUCAGUUCCUGGACCCCUCACACCCCUCAUGUGUUGUAAGACUGUCAGUGGAUUGAAAUAUUGAAUCACGAUUAAUCACAUAUUUGUUUUGUUGUUAGUGUUAACACAUUCAGUUCCAGGAAAACUAAAUAACAGUCCUGUGUGUCUUUAUUAGAGUCUUUUCUGAAAGUUUCAACUAGUUGAUCAAAAAUGAGGCUAUAAAACCAUCAAACUUUUACAUGCCAAUAAAGCUAAUAAAUAUAAAUUAAUAAAGAGAGAGAGAGAGAGAGAGAGAGAGAGAGACAUUCUCUGUGUGUUAUUUCAGAUAAAAUCACUUUGAAUUAAGUUUCAGGUGAGCUGAAUGUGAUGUCAUCAUUUGUGUGUGUUUGUGUUUUUAUAGUGUGGAUCAUGGAGGAGAGUUCAGGAUUACAGCAGGACCACGCACAUAUGUCUGUGAUCUCACACUGGAUUCAAACACAGCACACUCUGAACUCAUUUUGUCUGAGGGGAACAGGAAGGUGACACGUGUGAGAAAGCGU